GUAGGGUGCGAGCGUUGUCCGGAAUUAUUGGGCGUAAAGAGCUUGUAGGCGGUUUGUCGCGUCUGCUGUGAAAGCCCGGGGCUUACUCCGGGUCUGCAGUGGGUACGGGCAGGCUAGAGUGUGGUAGGGGAGACUGGAAUUCCUGGUGUAGCGGUGGAAUGCGCAGAUAUCAGGAGGAACACCGAUGGCGAAGGCAGGUCUCUGGGCCAUUACUGACGCUGAGAAGCGAAAGCGUGGGGAGCGAACAGGAUUAGAUACCCUGGUAGUCCACGCCGUAAACGUUGGGCGCUAGGUGUGGGUCCCAUUCCACGGGGUCCGUGCCGCAGCUAACGCAUUAAGCGCCCCGCCUGGGGAGUACGGCCGCAAGGCUAAAACUCAAAGGAAUUGACGGGGGCCCGCACAAGCGGCGGAGCAUGCGGAUUAAUUCGAUGCAACGCGAAGAACCUUACCAGGGCUUGACAUGCACCGGACGACUGCAGAGAUGUGGUUUCCCUUUGUGGCUG
rnacentral:rRNA from 1 species